rnacentral:lncRNA from 1 species
UGAUUCUUCUUAAAUUUAUCACCCUCUCAUCGAACUCAAGUUGUACAGCAACUCACUCGGAUAUUUGCUGUAGUAGUGGCCUGCGGACUUCUAUUGGUUUGCGAGUUGGACUUGAGUCUCUUUAAAUUUUUGAAACUGGUACAAGCAAUACAAACAGUAAUGAGAGCAGAAAUCUCUAGAUGAAUAAGAACAGAGCAUCAGAAGAUUCAUCAAAUUCAUACAGAAAAUGCCGGAUCAGGGGGCAGAGCAUGGGGUGGCCAACAUGCGACUCUUUUUUGAGUGACCGGUGGCGGAGCAAGAAGUCGGACUGAUGACCUGUAGAUCUUCCAGUUGACUAGCCCCAGCAACCACAUUGGCAGUUGUAUGAACGACACCAAUUGAACGGGCUUUGGUGGUGGUGACGAACGGCCUGGCGACUCAGUUUGAACGGACUGUGACCUUUGGCGGCAGGGGGUGACGUCGCAGCGGCAGUAGUGACGCGUGGUGGAUUAGGGAGGCGCGGAGGAAUGCGACCAACAGUGACGCACGACGGCCAGGUUGCCGGCGGCUGCACGCUUUGGUCUCGGGAGGAGCAAGGAUGAGUUGCGAGAGGGCUUGCCGGCGUUGACCGGGAGGCGAGCUAGACAACGUUGGGGGUCCGGAAGGAAUUGGGGACGAGGUGGCAUCUUGAUCUAGUAGAUAUGGGGGUGGGGCGG